rnacentral:rRNA from 1 species
UUAAUUUGAGAGUUUGAUCCUGGCUCAGGACGAACGCUGGCGGCGUGCCUAAUACAUGCAAGUCGAACGAACUCUGGUAUUGAUUGGUGCUUGCAUCAUGAUUUACAUUUGAGUGAGUGGCGAACUGGUGAGUAACACGUGGGAAACCUGCCCAGAAGCGGGGGAUAACACCUGGAAACAGAUGCUAAUACCGCAUAACAACUUGGACCGCAUGGUCCGAGUUUGAAAGAUGGCUUCGGCUAUCACUUUUGGAUGGUCCCGCGGCGUAUUAGCUAGAUGGUGGGGUAACGGCUCACCAUGGCAAUGAUACGUAGCCGACCUGAGAGGGUAAUCGGCCACAUUGGGACUGAGACACGGCCCAAACUCCUACGGGAGGCAGCAGUAGGGAAUCUUCCACAAUGGACGAAAGUCUGAUGGAGCAACGCCGCGUGAGUGAAGAAGGGUUUCGGCUCGUAAAACUCUGUUGUUAAAGAAGAACAUAUCUGAGAGUAACUGUUCAGGUAUUGACGGUAUUUAACCAGAAAGCCACGGCUAACUACGUGCCAGCAGCCGCGGUAAUACGUAGGUGGCAAGCGUUGUCCGGAUUUAUUGGGCGUAAAGCGAGCGCAGGCGGUUUUUUAAGUCUGAUGUGAAAGCCUUCGGCUCAACCGAAGAAGUGCAUCGGAAACUGGGAAACUUGAGUGCAGAAGAGGACAGUGGAACUCCAUGUGUAGCGGUGAAAUGCGUAGAUAUAUGGAAGAACACCAGUGGCGAAGGCGGCUGUCUGGUCUGUAACUGACGCUGAGGCUCGAAAGUAUGGGUAGCAAACAGGAUUAGAUACCCUGGUAGUCCAUACCGUAAACGAUGAAUGCUAAGUGUUGGAGGGUUUCCGCCCUUCAGUGCUGCAGCUAACGCAUUAAGCAUUCCGCCUGGGGAGUACGGCCGCAAGGCUGAAACUCAAAGGAAUUGACGGGGGCCCGCACAAGCGGUGGAGCAUGUGGUUUAAUU